rnacentral:rRNA from 1 species
UACGGGGGGGGCAAGCGUUGUUCGGAAUUACUGGGCGUAAAGGGCGCGUAGGCGGUUCGCUAAGUUGGAUGUGAAAACUCUGGGCUCAACCCAGAGCCUGCAUCCAAAACUGGCGGGCUAGAGUUCUGGAGGGGGUAGCGGAAUUCCUGGUGUAGCGGUGAAAUGCGUAGAGAUCGGGAGGAAUACCUAUGGCGAAAGCAGGCUUCUGGGCCGUCACUGACGCUGAGCUGCGAAAGCUAGGGGAGCAAACAGG